rnacentral:misc_RNA from 1 species
UUUCCGUAGGUGAACCUGCGGAAGGAUCAUUACAGAGUUCAUGCCCUCACGGGUAGAUCUCCCACCCUUGAAUAUUUAUACCUUAGUUGCUUUGGCAGGCCGUGGAAACACCAUGGGCUCCGGCUUAUGCGUGCCUGCCAGAGGAAACAAACUCUGUUUUAGUGAUGUCUGAGUACUAUUUAAUAGUUAAAACUUUCAACAACGGAUCUCUUGGUUCUG